GAAAUUUCAUUGUCUUUAUAGGGUAUUCACUAAUUAAAUAUCAAGAUCACCAAGCAAAAUGAGGAUGUGAAAUUUCAUUUGCCGCAAGUCGGUCCGUAUACGUACAAUCCAGUUUCCACGCUGCAAUGUUCGUAGCUGUGUUCCGUCCAAUUUGUUUUGUCGAGCCAUUAGUGAAGUCAAGUUCUUUGUCAAUGAAAAAACUUGCUGAUAAGGCAUUCUUGAGAUGAUUCAAGCCAAAAGAACUUAUGAAUUUUAAUGGCUUCCAGCAAUCUGUUGGUUUGAUAGGUAAUAUUGUAUUUUUUUGUUGGCUAUAAUUGCUACCAUUUUCCCUUAGGUUUCAGCAUUUUUGGUUUACUAGAGACGUUUAUAUGGACAGCUUUAUAGUAAUAGAAUUUGAACAGUUCAGUCAAAGGAACUCCAACGUUUAUCGUGUUAUGGAGUUUCAUCACUGCCGUGGUGUAACAGGUUGUGCUUGUUGGAUGCUUAAGUUAUGAGCUGCCAAAAUUGACCUUUUCUGGUGGUUUUAUGCUUUUUUGUCUGGCAGAUGUGGCCUUAGUACCAAUGGGCAUUUGAGACUGAGAAUAUGUGAGAUUCUACAUGGACUGAUUUUGAAAAGCUGCAGUACCAUCUUGGGAUUUAGUCCUUAAGGCGAAACGUCAGCAUGUUGCUGACGUAACAACCAUGAUACAGGUUGUACUUAUGUAUAAGUGUCGAAUGGGGCAUCGUAAUUCAUUUGCCAUUGAUACGCAUAUAGGAAGUACCAAACUUUUCGGCAUGGUUGUGGUUGACAUGGUUGUAGGUUCAGUAGGUAUUAGCAAAAAAAUGAUAAACUUGAAGCCCAAGUAACGCCAUCGGUUUCAGUUGGCUAUAGUUGGAACCGAUGCUCAACCGUUAAGCUGUGUGUUACAUUCAUCUGUUCUAUGUUUCUUAGUAUUGCAAAGAAAAAAAAAUCGGGGUUAUAAUACUUUCGGUGGGAAAGUAAUUGCCGCUUGACGGAAGUGACAGAUCAUUAUUAAGUUAUGGGAAAAACUGGUAAACAAGACACAGUGUUUGUCAAUAAAGCAGUCGGACAAGUGGAGUUCCGUAAUUGUAUUUAAAAAACAACUUGUCGCAGUCAAUCCAUAAAACUUUUUAAGUUGGUGCUGUUACGUUACUCCCAAAUAUACCUUUCAGUACAUUGUGUAAUAUGU